UACGAAGGGGGCUAGCGUUGUUCGGAAUUACUGGGCGUAAAGCGUGCGCAGGCGGCUUCUCAAGUCAGGGGUGAAAGCCCAGAGCUCAACUCUGGAAUUGCCUUUGAGACUGAGUGGCUUGAGUACGAGAGAGGUGAGUGGAAUUCCCAGUGUAGAGGUGGAAUUCGUAGAUAUUGGGAAGAACACCGGUGGCGAAGGCGGCUCACUGGCUCGUAACUGACGCUCAUGCACGACAGCGUGGGGAUCAAACAGG
rnacentral:rRNA from 1 species